rnacentral:tRNA from 1 species
AAUACUACGCCGGAUGAACGGAAAUCAUUGAUGUUGAUUAUUAUGAGAUUAACUUGUUUUCUCUAGUGUUAUA